CCUACGGGAGGCAGCAGUGAGGAAUAUUGGUCCAUGGUCGGGAGACUGAACCAGCCAAGCCGCGUGAGGGAUGACGGUACAGAGUAUCGUAAACCUCUUUUGUCAGGGAACAAAGGCGGGGACGUGUCCCCGUAUGAGUGUACCUGAAGAAAAAGCAUCGGCUAACUCCGUGCCAGCAGCCGCGGUAAUACGGAGGAUGCGAGCGUUAUCCGGAUUUAUUGGGUUUAAAGGGUGCGCAGGCGGUCUGUUAAGUCAGCGUUAAAAGUCGGGGGCUCAACCCCGGCCCGCCGUUGAAACUGGCAGUCUCGAGUGGGAGAGAAGUAUGCGGAAUGCGCGGUGUAGCGGUGAAAUGCAUAGAUAUCGCGCAGAACUCCGAUUGCGAAGGCAGCAUGCCGGCUCCACACUGACGCUGAGGCACGAAAGCGUGGGUAUCGAACAGGAUUAGAUACCCCAGUAGUC
rnacentral:rRNA from 1 species